rnacentral:rRNA from 1 species
AAUUCGACGCAACGCGAAGAACCUUACCAGGGCUUGACAUCCCCUGACCGCGUAUGAAAGUACGUUUUCACCCUCGGGUGACAGGGAGACAGGUGGUGCAUGGUUGUCGUCAGCUCGUGUCGUGAGAUGUUGGGUUAAGUCCCGCAACGAGCGCAACCCCUAUUGUUAGUUGCCAUCAUUCAGUUGGGCACUCUAGCGAGACUGCCGGUAAUAAACCGGAGGAAGGUGGGGAUGACGUCAAAUCAUCAUGCCCCUUAUGACCUGGGCUACACACGUGCUACAAUGGUUGGUACAACGAGUUGCGAGUCGGUGACGGCGAGCUAAUCUCUUAAAGCCAAUCUCAGUUCGGAUUGUAGGCUGCAACUCGCCUACAUGAAGUCGGAAUCGCUAGUAAUCGCGGAUCAGCACGCCGCGGUGAAUACGUUCCCGGGCCUU